rnacentral:rRNA from 1 species
UACGUAGGCAGCAAGCGUUGUUCGGAAUUACUGGGCGUAAAGAGUGUGUAGGCGGUGCUCUAAGUUUGGUGUGAAAUCUCCCGGCUCAACUGGGAGGGUGCAUCGAAAACUGGAAUGCUAGAGGGUGGGAGAGGUAAGUGGAAUUCCCGGUGUAGCGGUGAAAUGCGCAGAUAUCAGGAGGAACACCAGUGGCGAAGGCGCCGCUCUGGGCCGUGACUGACGCUGAGGAGCGAAAGCGUGGGUAGCAAACAGG